UUUGAUAAUAACCUUAAGAGUUCUUUGAAUCUUUGUGGUUUGUACUUUGAGAAGUUAUCUUUCAACAUUUAUAAGGUAAUUUUCAAAUGAUAUUUUUAUUCCUUUUUGGUAUUUAUCUAUUGUGAUUAGUUUCUACAUAUUAACUGUUGUCUUAAAUUUUAUUAAUAAAGGGUCAGGAUCCAAAUUUAUUAUUUAAAUUUGUCAUCUGAAGUAAAGGCGUUGAAUUUCUCCUCGUAGAUCUAUAUGUUAUUACUUGGACUUUGUCAAAGCUUUGAAAUCACGUUCUUAUAAAUUCUUAGAUUUUCUCAUAUCUUUAUUUCUUGUUUGCAUAUUUUCUUUUCCAAUUUGCUUCCGCACUUCUAUAUAUUCAAUUUUUAUAUUUAGGAUCUCCUUAACUCGUUGUUAUGACAUUAUAAUACAAUCAAGAAAGAUUACAAUUAUAUAUAUAACCUUGUUGUUAUAAUUAUAUAACCUCGUUGUGAUCAUCUCAUUGUUUUGUUUUGAUUGUAUUACAUAAUUAUAACAGUGAGGUAAGAGAGAUCCUAAAUAUAGAAUUGAUUAUUAAGAAAUGCGGGAGAAAAAUAGAAAAAAAUCUGAAAACUAGAAAUAAAGAUGUGGAAAUUCAAACAAGCACUCCAUGAAUUUUCAAGAAUGUGAUGUUUAAAGCCUUGACAAGAUUCAAGUUACAACUUAUAAUUUUAUGAUAAGAAAUCUAACUCUUUUACUUGAGAAAACUAAUCAAAAUGAUAGGUUGGGAUCUUAACUUUAUGAGUAAUUUAAGACAACAAUUAGUAUGUUGAAACUACUCGCCUUUUAAAGAAUACCAAUAAUAAAUCAAAUAAGAAAAUUCUUAUACCAUGAAUUAUGAAAUAUUGAAAGAUGAAUUAAAUUCUUAAAGUAUAAGUCAUGGAGGUCCAAAACGUUCCUUUAUUGUUAAUGUUAACAUUGUUUGAUAAGACACAUAAAUAGAGUAUAUUAAAAGUAAAUUAAUAAAAAAUAUUAUUUACAAAACCCAAAACAUUAGGAGAAGAAAACAAAAUUAAACCAAAACUUACAUUCACAAAUAAAAAGUACGUUUUUCUCAUAUCGAUCUGGCUCUGUAUCUUUUGAGUUUUUGACAAAUAAUUAUUUCUUCUAGAGCUCUGCAUAUAAAAUUUACAGAAGAAAAUAUAAAUAAUCAGUACUCGAACAUGUAUAUAUUCACAUACAUACACCUAAUAUAAAUACGGUCAUUUAAUACAAGCCAACAAAUUUCUAGAGCAAAUCAGAUUCAAGCUUUAAAGGGGUAGUUUUAAUUUAAAAAAUAUUUUACUAUUAUAGUUUUUUUCUCUUAUCAUAUAUUUUAACACUCCUUAAUUUAAAUAUUAUAAAGAUAAUCUAUAUCUAUCUAUCAAUAUAUAUAAUAAAGGAGAAACAUAGGCGAUGUGACACCUCUCUAUGACCUCCAUUUGUAUUUAUCUUUUUUUCUCCUUUUUUGACAUUUUUUCCUUAUUUAAAUUAAUUAUUGUAUUGUUACAACACCAGAAGCUUGUAGGAAGGUUUUAAAUGAUGAUGAAGCCUUCAAGCCUGGCUGGCGUACUUCUCCAGCAACUAUGAAUGGUCAUGAGGCAUCUCCAGCAAGACGCAUCACUACUUCGAUCAGCUCCUGUAUAAGUAACAUAAGUCCAAAUUGUAACAACAGAUAUACAUUUUCUCAAUCAAUAACAAUCUCCGCUCUUCUGGAAAUUGUAGAACUCAAUUAGGGUUCUAGAGCUGUUCAAGAACAAGUUUCAAAUUAUAAUAUAUAUUUACCUCACCG
rnacentral:lncRNA from 1 species